rnacentral:rRNA from 1 species
UACAGAGGUCUCAAGCGUUGUUCGGAUUCAUUGGGCGUACAGAGCUCGUAGGUGGUUCGGUAAGUCGGAUGUGAAAUCUCCAGGCUCAACCUGGAGGGGUCAUUCGAUACUGCCGUGACUAGAGGUCGGUAGGGGAGUGUGGAAUUCCUGGUGGAGCGGUGAAAUGCGCAGAUAUCAGGAGGAACACCCGUAGCGAAGGCGGCACUCUGGGCCGAUUCUGACACUGAGGAGCGAAAGCGUGGGGAGCGAACAGG